AUCAUGAAGGACUUUUUAGCUGACACUCACAAGAGAGAGAACUCUGGAUCUGCACCAGCAAUGAGUACGAGCAUUGUAUUGAGUUGACGUGGCAACGGCACCCGUCGGACCCCCAGGAGCCUCAGUCCAGGACAACCCUUCCCCUCCCCUGACGUCCUGCCUCAAAGCUUGUUGAACAAUACCGUUCUGCAGGAAUGCCUGAGCGUGUUGAGUUUUCACAAGCUGUUCUCAACAACUGCAAUGUCCGUUUCAAUUGAUCCACACUCGAGCCUGAGUAGUUUGUUUAGCUCCAAAGCCAGAGGUGGGUCCCGUAUUGCAGACACAAGGAAAUAUAGCAGUAGAUAUGGUAAUACUAACAGUCACUGAUUGUGGACUUCACAACAAAUAUUACGAAGAAUAAAAAGUUUGAUAACUUGUUCCAUGCAGUAUGGGACUAACAGAGCGAAAGUGAAUAAUGGGAGAAAAUCUAGAAACAGUUGAAGAGCUAAAGUUCGAAGCCUAAGCUAUCCACGGGGGCUACUUCUGAUUUCGAUAGUAGUAGCAUUAUGGACCAUCCCAGUUUGUCCUCUUAGGCAUCCAAAAUGUCCAAAGUGAAUGUGCUUUUUACGCAGUUGCUGACAAAUAAACUUUGUAAUGAACACUCAUAGCACGAUGAAUAAAUCUGGCAUGGUUCAGGCGCAUAUUCUGCCCAACAUCGUUAACAAGGUGCUAAAGGUGUACCUAUGGGGGUUUGUUUUGAGCACUUCACACUCCAAGCCAAAACGGCCUCGCAUUGAGUCGAUGCUUGAGAAGGCGUUGAAAAAUGACAGCAGUUUUGUUGUGUGGUACAGUAUGCCCUUUGAUUCUCAACCCGAUGUUAGGUAGAACUCAAACUCGGCCCUUAGCAAUAUCAGCGAGGCUAGAAUGUCAUCUCUGCAUCUUGAGCUUCAGCAAACAUUAUUAGCCAACAAGACAAACACCGUUGAAGUCAAUGUCGAUGGCAAUCCCCACCCCUUCUUUCACAAAUACUACAACUCGCUCAAGAAAUUCAGCACGAAGACAUCUUGCAUCAGCCUAGCACGCCACCUAUGAACAUCUUCUCCCUUGUUGGCUACAUCAACACUUCGAACAGCGGAGCCUUGGUGAGUCCGACUUCCGUCACAGAUUUGAUGUUGCUUAGCAACAUUUCAAUGCCGGGCUUGGAAAACUUGUUCCAGACGAGUUGCUCAAGUGGAAAAGAUCUGAUACAGCAGAUAGAGGAGGCGUUGAGUGACUUUCUGUAAAUGUGACCGACCUCGAUAUGUUGAUCUCGAAUAAUGUGAAACUGACGCCUGAGGAGCAGUCUGCGAUUGACGCCAUUUAGCAGCAGCUGUUUUCUGACAUGCCCGGGUUUUACUUUGGCAUCUGGACUUGCACCAUCUCUGUCUGUAUCCCAUUAACGGCAGCCGCAGCAUUAACAACAACAGGUAGUAUUUCAGCCUCAUUCUGGGAAUGACCUGGACUUGCACCAUCUCUGUCUGUUUCCCUUUAACAGCAGCAGCAGCAUUAACAACAACAGGAAGUUUUUCAGCCUCCCUCUGGGAAAACAGGUCUUAAUGCAUGAGGAUAGUGUUGUCCCAGAAAAGCAUGUGAAGUUUGCUCAGGCAUGAGGAUAGUGUUGUCCCAGAAAAGCAUGUGAAGUUUGCUCAGGCAUGAGGAUAGUGUUGUCCCAGAAAAGCAUGUGAAGUUUGCUCAGGCAUGAGGAUAGUGUUGUCCCAGAAAAGCAUGUGAAGUUUGCUCAGGCAAAUCAGAGGCAACACUUUGUGAAAAAACCUUUUAACUUAAAAUUCCAUAAAAGCAGAAAAUGUCAUAACUGAUUAGUUGUGCAGACUGCACAGGCUAAUAUGGGACGGCACUUUAGGCUUAUGCAUUAAGCCCAGUAUUUAAAGAGUUUAGAGUUUCACAUUUAUUUCAUGUAACAUCAGUUCUUUUUCUGACCUUUUUUCUGUCCCUUAUCAGGAAUUUUGUGUUUUUAAAUUGGUCAAACUGAGUGAAUAAAUACAUAUAACAGUUGAUUUAAUAUAAGUUGAAAUUAUAAAGGGUCAAGACGUAUUUCCAUACAUUUUUGGGCUGAAAUUCAUAAAUGCGGAAAGUGUUGUCCUUGUUUAUCGUCUGCAGACUGCACAGGCUCAUCUGGGAUGACAGUGCAUGCACAUGCAUAAAGGCAUGUAUUCCCAGAACAAGGCUCAUAUAGUUCUAUAAACCUUCUCUAAUCUUUGAGGGAAAAAGCUGUGAAAAGUGUGUUUUUAAAUUGGCCAAGUGGGUAAAUAAAUACUGUAUCUAACAGUUUACAUCAAACCAGUUUUAAUCAUACAAGGUGAGGGCAUAGUUUUUUCUGUUUUUGGGCGGAAAUGCAGCAAAUUAAAGGGCGUUAUUGGAAUUACCUUGGACAUAUGUAUGUUACCUCUCAUGUAAAUAUGUACCUGUUGGUAUGUUCAUUAUUACCCUGUAACAAAUUAAAGAGGGGGUAUAUUGGAAUCACCUUGGCCAUAUUGUGUGUCUGUCAUUCAGUCUGUCUGUUCGUAAACACAAGCUUAUCCGCAGGCAUUCUUCUACUAAUGAUUCCAUGUAAAUAUGGACCAAGUAGAUGAUUUUGAAUUAAGAAUCAUUUAAAUUGUUUACAACUAAGGAAAAUGCAGAUUAAUUUCAAUUAUUGAACAUUUAAAUACAUUUCAAGAAAUAAUGUUACACUUAAGGAAUAUGAUUUUUAAGUGUACAUUUAACACUUAUGAUGUUUAAUUUGAUGUUCAAAAGUCUGUCAGUCUCUCUUAAAACAACAGAAGCUAAAGUUGAGAGAGAGAAAGAGAGGUUACAACAGCAGGACAUGCAGACAUUGCUGCUUCAGCUUCAAUAGCAUCAUCAGCAGCAGCAACAACAAUGUUCACAAUUAAGCAAUGAACAGUUUCAUGGACAACAGUCUUAAAAUGACAUCUUGUCAAUGAACAUGGCGCCCUUUCCGGAAUGAACAGUGCCACUGCGACUAACGUGACCCUUCAGAGAAAUGGGAUUCUUGGACGAAUAUCACCCCAGUAUCAAUCAGGGCUCCAACAACAGCCGCCCCCAGCCCAAGCCUUGUGAGCACUUGGGAAGGGGACACGAUGCCCACGAGUUCUCAACUCUAUUGUCCCGGGGCUUCUCCCAGCAGCAGUGGAACAACCUGGCGUCCCAGGUUAGCUGUGGAUUCAUGUUUCUGGCAUGAUGCAGGGUUUAAUACAAUCAUUUUGACCACAGAUGCCUACUGUUGCUCUUUCAUUACUUUUUCCAGGGGUGAACGGAAGACUGUCGUAACUCAUAUAAAAUAAAGAAGAAGAUACAACAGUUUUCCGUUCAGCCCUCGAAUUAUUUUGUAUAGAGGACUUAGC